CACUCCCUCUCUCCCAUAUUUCUGGACGAAAUUUCGAAUAAAGUUGAAGCCUGUUCUCUCCCCUUGGUGAUUGAUGGUGAUUUUAAUUUGCUUCGUUCUCCUGCGGACAAGAACACAAAUAAUUUUUCGUGGGCGUUGGCUGACGCUUUCAAUGACUUCAUCAGUUCCUGUGCCCUUCAUGAGAUUCCUAGGGUGGGAUCCAGAUACACUUGGACCAACCACCAACCAUCUCCUAUCCGCUCCGUCUUGGACCGUGUCCUUGUCUGCUCGAACUGGGAUUCGCUCUUCCCGCUAGCUACGCUUAAAUCUAAGGCCAUUGUCGGCUCGGACCAUGCCCCUCUUAUUCUUGACGUUGGGAGCCGCUCUAUUUCUUCCCCUUCUAGAUUUCAGUUUGACGCUUCUUGGCUCCUUAUUGAGGGUUUUUGUGAUCUCCUUAGCUCUAAAAUUAGUGCCAUCCUUUCUGCUCCCCAUCGUUCCUUUGGACCCAUGGAUGAUUGG
rnacentral:rRNA from 1 species